UUGCGAGGAUGGCAGAAGUUGCAGUGACACGAGGUUUGACAGAUAAAGCCGUAAUUUACAACUUCUCACUGAUCUAAUAUGAAUUCUGAAAGUCAAUUCGACUUCAGGAAAAUACAUGUGUAAGUAAUUUUAGCUGACAUGGCUCAGUUUUUACUAAAAGUCCGUGUGAAUGAACGUCUUCUGCAACUUUUACAAUGAGGGAAAAUCUCAAAAUAUAUAGACGGUCUGAAAAACAUAUUUCAGGUAAAACUACAUCCAUAUUCUAAAAGCAUACCCCGACUACUAUAGUUAUACACAGUUAUUAUACUCAGAAAGUCUUAGAAGCAAUAUAUAAGAACCCCAAGCUAUAAAUAGAAAUUGUUGAACAUGUCCAAAAUAUAA
rnacentral:lncRNA from 1 species